rnacentral:rRNA from 1 species
CCUACGGGAGACUGCAGUGGGGAAUAUUGGGCAAUGGGCGCAAGCCUGACCCAGCAACGCCGCGUGAAGGAAGAAGGCUUUCGGGUUGUAAACUUCUUUUCUCAGGGACGAAGCAAGUGACGGUACCUGAGGAAUAAGCCACGGCUAACUACGUGCCAGCAGCCGCGGUAAUACGUAGGGGGCAAGCGUUAUCCGGAUUUACUGGGUGUAAAGGGCGUGUAGGCGGGUAAGCAAGUCAGAGGUGAAAACCAUGGGCUCAACCUGUGAACUGCAUUUGAAACUGCUUUUCUUGAGUACUGGAGAGGAAGACGGAAUUCCUGGUGUAGCGGUGAAAUGCGUAGAUAUUUGGAGGAACACCAGUGGCGAAGGCGGUCUGCUGGACAGGAAUUGACGCUGAGGCGCGAAAGCGUGGGGAGCAAACAGGAUUAGAUACCCGAGUAGUC